rnacentral:lncRNA from 1 species
GGGGUGUUUUGGCGUGGAUUUGGGGGCUUUUGGGGGAAUUUGGAUAAGAAAGUUCAGGAAUAGAGGGAGAAACGGAUUUUGGGGGGAUUUGGGGUCAAUUUUGAGGUCAAUUAGGGGAAAAUUGGGCAAAAGGGGCGGGAUUGGGCCCCUUCCAUAAGCCCCGCCCCCUCCCCAAGCCCCGCCCACACGACGACCCGCGUUGAAGGCUGUGGCGGAAACAGAGCUUUAUUGGGGUGGUGACCCGGAACCGGAAGAGCGCCCGGAUCCGGAAUACACCCCGCACCCGGAAGUGCCUCCAGACCCGGAUCCGGAAGUGGCCUCAGAAGCGGAUCCGGGCCCGAAGGCGCCCAUGCGGACGGUGCUCGGCGCCCGCAGCGUCUGCAGCUGCCGGCGGCCGCGGCGCAGGAGGAGCUCCGCGCGGAGCCGAUCCCGGGGCGGAACCGCAGCGCAGCGGCGGAAUUCGGAGCGGAUCCGCGCAGCGAACCCCGGACGGGCGGCGGCAGCGCGGAGCAUUGCGCGGUACAGCGCCAGCGCCUCCCGGCGGAGGUCGCUCCCGGCCAUUGGGAACGACGCGCUACGCUGCGGCGCCGCUGUUGCGCAGCGUCACUUUCGCUUCCGCCGGCCUACGCGCUGAUUGGCCGAAAGUGUUUGCCGCCACGUAGGCGAUGGUGCCGCGGUGCCGGGGCUGCCCGGGGAUGCUGACGACGCAGCGGCAGCCGGGGCUCAUGGCGGCCGUCAGCUCCGCCUCUUCCGCCCUCCGCC